rnacentral:sRNA from 3 species
AUAUCUCUCUGUACGGGAAGGAUGAGAAGCUUCGACUAAGGUUCGAUUCGAGCGUCAGCGAGAAAGCGUUGCCGCAGGCAACGACCCGAAGGGCGAA